UGGGCAGGUAACAAUGCAUUGGGCAAGUCU
rnacentral:piRNA from 1 species